AGGUUAAGUAAAUUAGCACAUGUACUAGGAGCCAAAACUGUCUCUCUCUCUCCCUCUCCAGCUCAUGCUUCAUAUCUCUCAUACUCCUUCUACAUUUCCCUGUGCCACUGGCAGUCUUGUGUGGGGCUGCGUUGCAGCACUUCUACCUAUCAGUGUCCUGCAUCUGGCCCUGCAGCUGUAGGGUCUGAUUGGUAUCAGGUUUGAGGCAUGCUCAGAGCACAGCUACAGGAUUGGGCCCUGCUGGUGAGAAAGACAUUCCCCCCCAUUUAGUUUGAGAGCUUCCGCUUGAUCUAGGGUUUCAGGCUGCUCAGUAGUGGGGGCAAGCAUUAGGGCUUAGGCAGCUUUGCAAAUGCUGACUGGUGGAAAUGUAGGCACUAGGGAGCUAGAUGACAGCUGAGAUGUGGUUUGGAAAAAAAUCAGUGGCACCAAAAUGGUGGAAUUGGGUUCCUGAAGAGAGUUGCCUAAAAACCUUUGUGGAUCUGGUCCUCUGUGCAAUUCUGAUCCCUAUCUGUAAAACAGGUACAAUUCUCCUGUCUCACAGGAGUGCUGUGAGGACAGAGAUGGGAGCCCUACAAACAUCUACUCAGAUUAAGUAUAGCAGCUACAUUUACGAGUUAUGUUUCUAUGCUUGUUCAGUCAAUUAGAAAUAUUCAGAACACGUUUCAACAAUUUGCAGCAAGUAAGUAAACUUGAUAUGUUCUGGUGAGUGUUGUGUGAAUCUCUGUUGAUUUAGACUUUGCCUCUAUAACUAUAGGGUUUCUAUUUCUGAGAAGGCAGUUUGACAGAAUUGUUCCAAACUAGAAACAAAUGCAAUGAGGCCUUAAUGCUGUAUCGGAAUCUGAGUGUCACUGUCUCUGUAAAGAUCUUGGGGUCCAAGCUAAAAGAUCUGGGGCCUAAAGCACUGGAAUUCUUUUUGAAGCCAAGUUUGGUUGUAAUUCUGGGAGCAUCUCAUAAGGAAAGAGCCUUCCCCUAUCUUCAGGAAUUUCUAGUCCUCUCUCUCACCUUUCUACAUUAUCUCUGAGUUUGGUUUAAGGAGUGAGGCCUUGAAUAUAUUCCAAGGACCAUUAAAGUAAGGCCAGAGCUGCACAAAGGGGAUUUAACAGGGCUGAGGAUGUGACCCUAAAAUGUAUCAUUAUACAGCCAAGAUUUCUGGUUCUAGAAGAGUUUCUGGGAGAGAAGGUGAUUCUCCACAUACAGGUCAGUAUACAAUUAUUGUAUCUUCCUAGGGGACAGGACUGGUCUAUGGCAUAAAGGCUUUGCCUAUACUAUACUGCUUUUAGGGACACAGCUGUACUCUUGCUGAUAAAGCACUGUUCACACCGGUGCUUUUCCUCCACAAAACUUUUGCUUUUGGGGAGGGGGUUGUUUUUUUAACACCUCUGAAUGACAAAAGUUUUGUCGUUCACUUGCCAAUGUAGACAAAGCCAGAGAGAGAGAGAAAUAAACAAGUUGUUUUGGGGGUUUUUUUAAGGAAUAACAAAGAUCUGUUAAAUACCAGAGUAGGAAAUGAGAUUGAUUAAAAUCAGAAUGUAUUCACAUUCAAUUGCAAGUUAUUCUAGGAAAUGUAAAAUACAGAUCUUUUAAUUAGAGUGGUGCAAAAGACUUCUUAAAAUCAAAGGCUCCAAACCUGCAAAUAUUUCCACACUUCCUGAGCUAAGCUCUGUUCCUGCACUGAGCUCCAUGCAUAGCAAAUGGGGCUCCAUUCUAGUGCAGCCUUAUGCCCAUGGACAGCUCAGAACAGGGUCUGGGCCUAAAACUGAUUUUCUCCUAAAGGUACCAGAAGAAAAUUUGAACAUCAGCUGUCAAUUCCUACUCAUCUGGCAUUUUGAGCUUAAAACAAUGGUUUAAUUAAUCUCUUGUUUGGGAUUUUGUCCUUGAGGUUUCCAAAAGACUCUUUAUAAAAAGUUUUUUUAUGGCAGUGAUUAUAUUCUUGUGGUAACAUCUGAACAAAAUAUUAAUACACUGUAUCCUGGAAUAUGUCUUGAAAUUAAAAAUUAAACGAUGGGCCAAACUUCCUGCUGGCAUAAUGCCACAUAAGUUAAUGGAAUUAUAUCAUAGGGAGUUUGACUAUACAUAUGUAGGUGAGUUAAUUUAAAAUUUUCUCCUGCUUUUGUUUUUGACUGGGGACAUAUGCCCAGAAUCCCAAAUAUGUUCAUGAUUUUUUCAUAUUAUGUUUCUCAUUUUUGAUCCUAUAUUUCAUUUUCUCAAUUUGUGUUUAGAGGGAUUUUUAAAAUGUAUAAAGAAUAUUAAAGAGUAAAUAAUAUCUAGGGUCAAAUCUCUGGUCUCACAGAAGUCAAUAGCAAAACUCUUCUUGGCUUUAACGAGUUCAGGUUUGGCUGGUGUGUGGUAUUGAUCUUCCCUCUUCAUCACACAGCUAGUAGCAGAUAGCAGUGACAUCACAUCUUAGGUGUGCCCAUGAAGCUAUCAAUAAAGCCUUUAUAUUCUUCUAAUCUCCUAACCUACCAGACUGCUAGAUAAGUAGAUUUAAGUGUUAAGAAACAGUCUGUGGUUUCACAGACCAAGAGCGGAGAUGAUUCAGUAGGAUACAAAUUCUUACACACUGAACAACCUGUAACCAAGCAAUAGUGUCACUCCUUCUCCAGUACAACAAUUCCAAACCCCAAUUCCUGGAUUGAGAUUCCAUAACUCCUGAAUCAACGUGCCUAGCACAGAGCCUGAUCCCCCCCCGGUUAAUCAUGUAAGUACCCCGUUGAGCAUUGCUGACUCCACAUGCAGUCUGUGUCCCCAUACAGCCUGGUUACCGUCUAGUAAAGUUCCUAGCCGUGAGGACAGUGAGGAAUUAAUUGACUAGCUUUUGGAACAGAUGACCAAGGGAUGUGGUAAAAUUCUCCCAUCAAUUUCAAUUUAGGUUUGGAUGUCUUCCUGAAAAAAAGAUGCUGAGUCCAGUUCAAUCAGAAGAGGUUGGACUUAACUCAGGAAUCAUUGGAUGAAAUCCAAUGGCCUGUGUUAUGUAGCUGGUCAGAUUAGAAGAUCAUGAUAGUCCCAUCUGGCCUUAUAUUCCAUAAGUAGGUAGGGUAUUUUGCCCCUGAUCUCUCACGAGUGUGUCAAGCUGUAAAUGGGUUUUUUUGUUCUUUUGUGCAGAAAGGGCAUCCAACUAUGUCUGUUUCACUGAGGCUAUGUCUAUGCUGCGAGCUAGGAUGUGAUUCCCAUGCUCCCAUCAAACUGCCGCUGGAUUCUGAUACUCUAUUCACAUGGAGACGUACCUUGUUUCACAAGUAUUUCCAUUGUCCAACUCACCCUAUGACCUAUUGCUGGGAAAGAGGGCAGCUCUUCAGAAGAGAAGUAAAUUGGCUGAGAGGAGGAAGGUUUGCCAGCUUCCCAUCUCAGUGUGUGGUGCAAGAGAAGAAUGUGUAGGGGAAAAUCAACCCAUGUGCUGAACUUUCUCAAGCAUGGGCUGAAAUUCAUGCAUCUAGAGAACUGUAAGCCCAAAGCUCAGUUUCAGGUCGGUUUGAUGUGAAUAUUUUACACAACUCCCAGUGGCAAAUGCUGUUUUGGAUGUUGUUCUAUCCUUGCAGAACAAACAGAGAGCAGAAAAGUUUUGGAUUGAGUUUCCUUUUAAGAAUGUGACACAAAUUUAAGGCUAAUGUUCUGCAUUUAACUCAAGCUGUCAUCCCUCUGGUGGUGGUGUUUUCUCAUAGGCACCUGAAGGCCAGAGUCUGCUUUGAAGCUUGUGGCUUUUGACAGUUUGUAUCUCUCAAUCCUUAGCGAUGCUGCUUAAGUGCAGCACUUUCAAUGCAACCUUAUGGACUAGGACAACACAGGGGGGAAAAACCUCUCAGACACUUCAGAUCUGAGUCAAAGCCCAGUGAAGUCAAUGGGAGUGUUUCAUGGACUUCAGUAGGCUUUGGAUCAGGACCUAAGGACCAAUGUAAAUCAAGAUGAUGGAAUCGUUACCCCUUAAAGCUGCUUGCCCUUCAUUGUGGAAUUAGUGACUUCAUCAACUCCAGCAGAACAAACACAGCCUGGCAGGUAAAAAACUUUCCAGGUGAAAAUGAGAAAAUAAGGAAACAUUCAUGGUAACUGAAGGCACCUACAGACUGAUGAGAAAGGACAUGAAGCAAAUAGGCGAAGUUCAUCCCUGAUGUAACUCCAGUAUGUUUCCAAUUCAAACAAUGGAAAGUGAGGGGAGGGGCACAAAGAAGAGAAAUUCUUGGUAGUAAAUAUGAUGAAGCAAACAGCAAAGGCACCAUUCUAACUGCAGUUCAUCAUACAAUGAGUUUCUUAACAUCUUGGCCAUUUGGAGGGCUUGUACUUUAGCUCAGAGCUAUGCCAACAAAAUAAAUCAACUUUACAUACACAACUGUCAAUCAAAACGGAAUCUAUAAACCUUGAAGGCUGAACCAGGAGAAUAAAUUAAAGGGUAAAAGGAAAACGAGGCAUGAGUAGGUCAGUAGGAUCAGGACAAUGAAGAAAAGAAGGAAGGAAGUAUUGCUGAACUAAUACACAAUGUACCUAGAGGUCUUGAACGGAAUCGACAAAAGCAUUUCUGUAAGCAAGGCUCCUAAUGCUGUCACAUUCCUCUGGUUUUAAUGAGACUAAUGGGAUCCACUGGAACUAAAGGGUGAACUGGAAUACUUAUUUAGCUAAUUAAAUAUAUGACCCUCCCACCCACUCCAGUUAUUAUAUAUAAAUAUAUACACAAAUCACUAUGAUCCAAAUCCUACUGUUCUUAUUCAGCUAUAUUCAGUUUGCACUGGGCUCAACAGUUUUGACUGGUUGCAGGCUGCUGCAUCUGGUCCUGCCAAGUUCUGUGCAUUAGGGACCAUCUGUGAAAUAGAUUUUACAUUUGUGAUUGCAGUUUUGUGCACACAAGUGCGGGGGUGGGGGGACCAGGAGAAGUGGUGAGUGAAAUGAUGAACAGACUUUCUCCCUCAUGCUGACACGAAGGCUGACAGACUCUGAAAAGAGGCCUAUUUGUCAAGAGACCUGUAGAAUAGAGGGGCAAAGCUUGGACUAUAGGAGUCCACUGCUAGCCACAAGUGGACCAAGCUGUUCCUUGAGUAUGCUCACAAUGGCAUGACUUCCGCAAUGCCAGCCUGUAAAUCAACUGUCGGUGCAGAGCUAACUUGAAAAGAAUAUUGCGUUGUCUUCCCUUCAUAUACUUACACCAUGUACCUCAUCAUGGUAUCAAGGCAGCUAAUACACGUAUCCUAGCAGCUGAAAAUUUGUCUGAUAUUUAGGUUAGCAGUUAUUUGACAAAGUCUUCUUAAGAGGGAUGAAGGAGCAACAGCCCUAAAACAGGCAGUAUCUAUUUGCAAUUCUGUGUUAGACUUUCAUGAAUGAAGUAGUGUUUUCCAGUGUUGCCAACUCUCACAAUUUUAUCAUUAAUCUUAUGGUAUCUGGAAUUUUUCUUAAAGUCCUAGCUUCUAGAGUCAUGUGAAUAUGUGAGAAUCUCACUUGUAUCAAAUGGAAACACAUUUCUGGUCCUCAGAGUUGUGGAGGAAAUCGUGAGAACAUGAUCUCAAUACACUCCCAAAAGAUUCAGAUACUAGAAUGCAACUUAAAUAAAUAAAUAAAUAGUUUGGGUUCUUUUAUUUUAAAUCUCAUCAUUUAAAGCUAAUCUCUUAUUGUUGAGAGACUUGACUCAUCAGAGUUGAGGGCUGGCAAGAUAUAUUGCUAGACUAAUCUCAGCAAACAUGAUCAUUUGGGCUGGUCAAAAAAAGAGGGUGUGGUUGGGAUCAUGAAAAAUAUUGCCAACUAGAAUUAUUUUUUCCUCUUAAAUCAGAAAUUUUAAAAUUGAAAAAAAUUCCACUUGCUCAGUAAAUUGAUUAAAAAUUGAGGGAACAUUUUGUGAAAAAGUAAAAAAUGCCCUGAUCUGUUUGUGAAAUUUUUAAUCAAACAUUUCAUAAUUUCAAAACUUUUGACCAGUUCUAAUGCACACAUUUGGCUAACUUAAUUAUUACUCCAAAACAUGUUACUUGUUUUAAAAUGUGCAAUGAACAGGUGAUUGAUUUAUGUCACAAAUUGCUUAGAGACUGGUUAAAAACUUCUAUUUUUAUCUUUUGUUGAUAGCCAUCAGUGUACUUUGUGUUGUAUAAAACAGCGACAGACACAGGCCUUGCCCGCAGAGCGUACUGGCUUCAAUGGAAUUACUCACAUGGACAAAGCAUGUGUGCGUGUAUGCAGGAUUGAACCAUAACAUUCCAAUACUGCCAAAACAUAUUACCCAGAGUAGUGCUUUAGUAAGAGUAGUCCCACUGAUAUUGGGAACAGAGGACAGAGGUUACUAAGGGCUAGUCUACCCUGGC